rnacentral:rRNA from 1 species
UCGGGAAUAUUGGGCAAUGGAGGGAACUCUGACCCAGCCAUGCCGCGUGCAGGAUGAAGGCGUUAUGCGUUGUAAACUGCUUUUAUAUAGGAAGAAAUAGUCCUUGCGAGGAAAGUUGACGGUACUAUAUGAAUAAGCACCGGCUAACUCCGUGCCAGCAGCCGCGGUAAUACGGAGGGUGCAAGCGUUGUCCGGAUUUAUUGGGUUUAAAGGGUGCGUAGGCGGUUUAUUAAGUCAGUGGUGAAAGACGGUCGCUCAACGAUUGCAGUGCCAUUGAUACUGGUAGACUUGAGUAUGAUUGAGGUAGCUGGAAUGGAUAGUGUAGCGGUGAAAUGCAUAGAUAUUAUCCAGAACACCAAUUGCGUAGGCAAGUUACUAAGUCAUAACUGACGCUGAGGCACGAAAGUGUGGGUAUCAAACAGGAUUAGAUACCCCAGUAGUCCCUGAGCGGGCUGGCAAGGCGCAU